CGGAGGAAAAGAAACUAACAAGGAUUCCCCUAGUAGCGGCGAGCGAAGCGGGAAGAGCCCAAUGUGAAAAGCCAGCUUGCUGGCGUUGUAGUCGAGCGACCUUGGAGUGUCAGUCUGGGUAAGUGGCAUGGAAAUGUCCGCCGUGGAGGGUGAGAGCCCCGUCCAUCCCAUUCAGGACACUUCGUACAAGGGCGUUUCAAACGAGUCGGGUAGCUUGGGAAUGCUGCUCUAAUUGGUGGUAAAUCUCAUCAAAGGCUAAAUAACGGUGGGAGACCGAUAGCGAACAAGUACCGUGAGGGAAAGAUGACAAGCACUUUGAAAAGAGGGUGAAAAGAGCCUGAAACCGUUACGAGGGAAGCGGAUUGCGUUGGAUUGGUGGCCUGUUGUGUGUUCAGCCGUUUGGGUGUAUUCACGCAAUAUGGUUAUCCGUCGUGGCUUUUCGGCGGCAGAAGAUGUGCUGCUGGAGGGUGAGGGCUCCCCUUUUUUUAUUGGGUGAGGACGACGGAGUGACGACGCGAUACGACCCGUCUUGAAACACGGACCAAGGAGUCUAGCGCAGAUGCGAGUCGGAGGGUGUGAAAACCUGUGGGCGAAGUGAAAGCGAGUGUAAAAACGAGCAGUUUGGGGCGGCAUAAAAUCGAUGAUUUUAGGUCUGACCUUGAGCAAUUGCGCUGGGACCCGAAAGAUGGUGAACUAUGCCGGAGUAGGGCAAAGCCAGAAGAAAUUCUGGUGGAGGCUCGUAGCGGUGCUGACGUGCAAAUCGCUCGUCGAACUUGGGUAUAGGGGCGAAAGACUAAUCGAACCAUCUAGUAGCUGGUUCCCUCCGAAGUUUCUCUCAGGAUAGCGGGCCGACAAGUUGUUUUGUGCGGUAAAGCGAAUGAUUAGCGCAUUCGGGGGCGUUUUGCCUUUGGGCGAUUCUCAAACUUUCAAUGCGCAAGGGUACCGGUGCUUUGUUGAGCGGUACCGAUAAAAACGUCGGCCUCGUGGGCCACUUUUGGUAAGCAGAACUGGCGAUACGGGAUGAACCGUAAGCAUGGUUAAGGCGCCAAAUUGCCCGCUUAUAGAUCCCACAAAAGGUGUUGAUUCAUCGAGACAGCAGGACGGUGGCCAUGGAAGUCGGAAUCCGCCAAGGAGUGUGUAACAACUCACCUGCCGAAUGAAUUAGCCCUGAAAAUGGAUGGCGCUAAAGCGGGCAGCCGACACCAUGCCGUUUGGUUAAAAAGUUGAAUAAUAAUCAGAUGAGUAGGAGGGCGUGGUGGCCGUGUCGAAGUAUGCGUGCAGACGCGUAUGGAACGGCCACUAGUGCAGAUCUUGGUGGUAGUAGCAAAUAUUCAAGCGAGAUCCUUGAAGGGCGAAGCGGGGAAGGGUUCCACGCAAACAUUGAUUGGGCGUGGGUGAGUCGUUCCUAAGCCGAGUGGCUAUUGCUAAGUAGCGGCGAAAGGGAAGCGGGUUGACAUUCCCGCACACGGAUGUGGAGGCGGUGACGCUUUAUUGGGGCGAACACGCUGGCGAUGGCGCUAGGCAGAGUUGUCUUUUCUGUUUGACCGCUUAUGCAUACGGUGUGGAAUCCGCUUGUCGGGAGAAACACGUAUGUUGGGGCAGAGCGCCGGGGUUUUUCCGGCGUCUAGCUCGCCAUCGACGGCCCUUGAAACUUUGCCUGCUGGGUGUUUGUAAACAUUUGAAAUCCACGCCGUGGCGUACCGAUCACCGCAUCAGGUCCCCAAGGUGAACAGCCUCUGCUCGAUAUGAACAAUGCAGGUAAGGGAAGUCGGCAAAUUGGACCCGUAACUUUGGGAAAAGGGUUGGCUCUAGUGCUGCGUGGGAGUGGUUGUCGGGUGUUGGUGCUUCUAGGUGUUGCUGGGUGAGCGCAGAGUGUGGUCGUUUUUGGGAGGGGUUUGGUGGAAGGGGUCUUUCGGGGCUCUCAAGCCAUUCUUUUUUUUCUGAUGCGGCUGUUUUCCGUGUUUGCUUGGUGUGCCCGGUUGUGUCACCCUCGACGACGCCCACAGCAUGCAGCAGACUAGAACUGCAACGGGCAAAGGGAAUCCGACUGUUUAAUUAAAACAAAGCAUUGCGAGGGCCGUGGCCGGUGAUGACGCAAUGUGAUUUCUGCUCAGUGCUCUGAAUGUCAAAGUGAAGAGAUUCAAUCAAGCGCGGGUAAACAGCGGGAGUAACUAUGACUCUCUUAAGGUAGCCAAAUGCCUCGUCAUCUAAUUAGUGACGCGCAUGAAUGGAUUAACGAGAUUCCUACUGUCCCUAUCUGCUUCUAGCGAAACCACAGCCGAGGGAACGGGCUCGGCAAAAUCGGCGGGGAAAGAAGACCCUGUUGAGCUUGACUCUAUUCUAAUUUUGUGAAGCAAGCUGGGAGGUGUAGCAUAGGUGGGAGACUUUGGUCGUUCGUGAAAUACCACUACUCCCAGUCUUGCUUUACUUACUGGGUGGGUGUGGAUAAGUCUUACGACUUGUUUUUGGAGCCAACUUGGAUUUUUGUAUCUGAGGACCACAGCCCAGUACACAUUUAGGAGGGGAGUUUGGCUGGGGCGGUACAUCUUCUACAAGACAACGAAGGUGUCCAAAGAUAAGCUCAGUGAGAACAGAAAUCUCACGUAGCGCAAAAGGGUAAAAGCUUGUUUGAUUUUGAUUUUCAGUGCGAGUCAAAAACGCGAAAGCGUGGCCUAUCGAUCCUUUCACGAUUCCAGAUUUGAAGCGAGAGGUGUCAGAAAAGUUACCACAGGGAUAACUGGCUUGUGGCGGCCAAGCGUUCAUAGCGACGUCGCUUUUUGAUCCU
rnacentral:rRNA from 1 species